rnacentral:tRNA from 1 species
GCCCGCAUCGUCUAGCGGUCAGGACACCACCCUUUCAAGGUGGUAACCGGGGUUCGACUCCCCGUGCGGGUACCA